rnacentral:rRNA from 1 species
AUUGAACGCUGGCGGCAGGCCUAACACAUGCAAGUCGAACGAGUGGCGGACGGGUGAGUAAUGUCUGGGAAACUGCCCGAUGGAGGGGGAUAACUACUGGAAACGGUAGCUAAUACCGCAUACCAACGGCUGUGCCCAGAUGGGAUUAGCUGGUAGGUGGGGUAAUGGCUCACCUAGGCGACGGUCCCUAGCUGGUCUGAGAGGAUGACCAGCCACACUGGAACGGAGACACGGUCCAGACUCCUACGGGAGGCAGCAGUGGGGAAUAUUGCACAAUGGGCGCAAGCCUGAUGCAGCCAUGCCGCGUGUAUGAAGAAGGCCUUCGGGUUGUAAAGUACUUUCAGCGGGGAGGCGUUACCCGCAGAAGAAGCACCGGCGAACUCCGUGCCAGCCGCCGCGGUAAUUC